rnacentral:rRNA from 1 species
AUUGAACGCUGGCGGAAUGCUUUACACAUGCAAGUCGAACGGUAGAGGGGGCAACCCCUUGAGAGUGGCGAACGGGUGAGUAAUAUAUCGGAACGUGCCCAGUCGUGGGGAUAACGUAGCGAAAGCUACGCUAAUACCGCAUACGAUCUAUGGAUGAAAGCGGGGGAUCCGCAAGAACCUCGCGCGAUUGGAGCGGCUGAUAUCAGAUUAGGUUGUUGGUGAGGUAAAAGCUCACCAAGCCGACGAUCUGUAGCUGGUCUGAGAGGACGACCAGCCACACUGGGACUGAGACACGGCCCAGACUCCUACGGGAGGCAGCAGUGGGGAAUUUUGGACAAUGGGCGCAAGCCUGAUCCAGCAAUGCCGCGUGCAGGAUGAAGGCC